rnacentral:tRNA from 1 species
GGGCAUGUGGUCUAGUGGUAUGAUUCUCGCUUAGGGUUUGACUUGUCAAAACUAAUAUGCGGGAGGUCCCGGGUUCAAUUCCCGGCCUGCCCC